UUUUGAUACUGAUUUUUGUGGGAAAAAAAGUACACUCACUGAAGGAGCCGUGCUUAUUACAGGUAAACAGCACAUAUCCGUAUAGUCAGCGUGUGCUAUUGGGCAAAGUGAACUGUAAGAACACAGUGUAAGUAACUCUUUGAGAUUUGUGGAUGAGCAGGUGUGGUUUAAGGCUUGAAUUGUACCUCAGCUUUGUAUGCUUUGUGUACAUGACUGAGUUUGAGCCUUGUCUGAGGAAGCUAAGGAGCUCAUUUCACAUCAGUCUUGAAGCAAAGGGAUUCUCAGAACACGCAGAGCUAAUCACAGCAGGGUCAUAGGAGGCAGAUACGUUUGCAGGACUGAUGCAGAGCUCCAUUGCUCGAGGUGGAUCCUGAGGAAUAGUUGCUAUUUAUUGCAGCCCAAUGUAUUGGAAUUCAAAACCAAGGAGAUCGAUCAUCCUCGCAUCAGAUCUGAGGGCUUCUUAUCAAAUAAAAAAGCCUGCAGCAGCAGAAAGCAGUCCUACCUGCCAAGAUGAAGUGAAGACACAAAAGUGUUUUGAAGAAACAAAAUGGGAGACAGCCAUAGGACACAGGUCUCCUUAUAGUCAUGCCAAAACGUUUGGUACAUAGUAUGCAUUUUUUGCAGUGUGGUGGAACAAAGCAAUUAUUUCACAGCUGAAGGAAAACCAGAAGAUAUUUAAAAAUGGAAAGUUCCCUUCCCAAGCCAUAAUGGAUGACGACGGUAGUAGAAGUAAUAUAUUCAGAGGGACCAAAACAGGAUAACAAUUUUUCAGAAGCUGAAGAAAUAUAUGAGGGAAGAAGAGAGAUUGAUACAGCAGCAUUGGAACCAGCUUUGUCCUUGGAUUGCAAGGGAAUGGAGAAAUGAGGUGUCUUCACAGAUCUUUCUUAUGUGACCAAGUGGCAGAAAAUGCUGCAGAAAUCUACUUCAGACAGUUAAGUAUUCAGGUUACUGAAAGCUGUGUUUACUAUUUUUAUAUCUAUGGUUGUGAGCUAAGUAUUUUUUUUUUUUUUUUUUUUUUUGCCUGUUCACAUCCUUGCUGCCUGCAGAGCUUCCCAGUUGCUAGGCUGUGUUUAAUAUAUUAUUUUCCCAUUGAGACACCUAUGCUCCCUGUCACAUCUCUGUUGUCUCUUUUCAGUACUGUAUGAGCCCCAUCUCUGGCUUCUCUAAAUGUUAAAGACCUCUCUUCCAGUUAUUUAUACAGUAUUUAAAAUACGUCCCUUAGUAAUCUUGACUUCAUCAGCCUGACCCCUCUGAACCACCAUUCGCCCUUGGUUCAUCAAAUCAGGUUCAGCCUUCUUGCCUUUAGCUUAGGACAUUUUAAUUCUUUUUUUCUGCAUAAUGUCUGUUUCUGUCUCCUAUAUUGAGAUUUAUUAAAAUUAUUUAGCCAUUUUAAGAUGAAACCGUAUGUCUAGUUGAGUGUUCAAAAUCAGUGACUACCUAAUUCCCCCUGAGACUAACACUCAUUCAUUCUCCUCAUUAACUUAGCAAGAGGACUUAGAGUCCAGCAUUGCAGAUUGUCUCCAGGCUUUCAUGCCUGAACUUCUCUUUCACUGUUGGGGGCAUAGAUCCUUCCUCUUCUGAGGACAAAGAAAUUUGGUGUCAUCCAGUCUGUGGAGAAAGUUUGCUGCAACUUGGAAUGCUGUUCUACCAAACAAUUCCUUUCUUCCAUCUGCGACACAAUUUUUUAGGGUUUUCCGAUUAAUCCAAAUACUGAAGAUAUUAUAAAGCCACAGAAACUGCUUUAGGCCAAAGAUGGCAAUUACAGCUAAGAGCUAGAGCUAACUGAAAGGCUUCCUAUUUUUUAACAUUUUUCUGUGGCUUUUAAGAUCUUUUUGUGUCACUCUGGAAUGAAAACCAAGUGCACAAAGACUUUUGGCAAAAAUGGGACUUUGCAAAAUGUUCAUCUUUGGCUCCAGAAACCGUUUUUCUUCUACUCUCAUCUUCUAGGAAGCCUAUUGUAGAGCUUAGAAAUAAUCCUGUCAGAACUUCAUCAAAGCCAGUAUUUGUUUUCAAAAUGUUCUAGUUUUGGCAUAAUAUUAGUUGGAGAAGAAAGUAUUUAAUCCAAAAUUUUCUGACUAGUUCCAUAAAUGUCAUUACAUUAAUUAGGUACAUAAGUAACAGUAGCUGAAUUAGCUAUGUUUACACAUGUCUAGUCAUCUGAAAGAAUAUGAAGUCAGACAGGACUCAAGGGUUGGCUCAGUAAGUGUCAUAAAUUUUAGUAACCCCUGAUCUUGAUGCUCAGUAGAACACAUCUGUGAACAAAACUAAUUGAAACAUCAAGAAAAAGUCAAAACAAAUGAAAAGCAUUAGCAAAAAAAAAAAAAACAAUUAUUAAUUUAGAGUAAUAUGUUAGGGUGAGUGGCAAAUUAAAUCGCUAUCCAAGUCCUGACACAGUUUUUUAUUUGAAACUAUAAUGUGAUUAUUGAUCAAAUGAAUUAAUUCUAUUUUGAUGGUAAUAUUAGCUUUUAAGUAACACAUAAACCUAAAAAUAGUUUAAUACAAGGCUUUCAGGGUCAUCAUCCUCCAAUAUUACUGUAAUCAGGAAUAGUUCCAAUGAAUAUAAUUAUGUUGUAUUCAUGAUACGAUAAAGGCUAUAUAAUUGAAAUCAAAUUUAGAGUUUUUUAAGGUUUUUAUUCAUUAUCUGAUUAGCCUACUACCUCAUAUGAAAGUAGUCAAGUCUUCUGAAUCUUACUCAUGCUGAGUGAAGACAUAUCUGGAUAUCGUGGAUAUUUCUGAGCCAGUUACUAUCGUACUCAUAUACAGUUUCUUCUGUAGUUUCUUUCUGGUUUUGUGUGUGUGCAUGUGCAUUUAUUUCAUAUGACUAAGAACCUCUAUCUAUCUGAAGAAUUGCAGGCUUUGGUUGCUAUUUCUCUACGGAAUGACUGGGAUGGUAUAUGAUGGUGCUUUGCAAAAGGAGCAGAAAUAAGUUAGCUUGAUGAAAUUUGUAGGAGAUGGCAGCAUCUGCUAACUCCAAACUCAGUCCUUGUGUUUGCUUUCGGUUCUUUUGAAACUAGUUUCUUGUGAUGUAUUUUAAAAUACAUAUUGUAGUACAGUUUUUCUCUAAAGCAUGCACUAUCAGAGAAUCACCUCUGAUGUAGAGUUGUCUUUUCAGACUUGCGGAACACAUUUCUUGUUUCUUAGAAUCUUUUAAAAUGUUGGUGUCUAGUACGACCCAAUGCACUGAAAUAUCUUGUAUAUAAUGCUAUUUUCUAAUGAACCGUGAUUCUCUGGUUCUGUCAAGAGUCGUGCUCAUAUUAGUAAAGGCUAAAGAGAGUACCAUUAUGUGUCUAGCAGAGAUAGUCCUUAACAGACUUGUCAAGUCUUAAGCAGUGUGCAUAAAAGAUGAAGCAUCUUGUUACAUCUGAUACCUCCAACUCAAGUGCUCCUAGGAAGUCACUGCCUUCCUCCCUUCUCCAGGACCAUGCAGGCCAGACAUGGCUUCUCACAUCACUCAUGGAGGGCUGGCUCCUUUGCUGCAGUCAUCUGCCAAACUCUUGUUACACUGAGAACCUCACAUCAGAUUAAAAGUUUCAUAGAGAUAUUCAGACAUCAGUCACUCACACCACAUCUCCUGCCCCCACAGCAAUACAACUGUAACCCCCCAAGAACUCUACAGAAUUUGACUUUGUAUAGAAAUUAAUAUUGAUUAGGUAGCACAACUGAAAAAACUUUCUAAAGUGUGCAGUAACAUAUAAAUUAGAAUUCUGUCCCUCCACCAUGUUCUGAACUAACCAUUUUCUGUUGAGAGUGAAGCCUGAAUGGAAUUAGCACUCACAACACUAUGCAGAGCAUAGUUUCAGAUUAAUUUAUAUGAUAUGAUGAUGAAAAUAAAGAAGACACCGACCAAAGUCUUCAGAAAUCCUAUGUUGAAAUAAGGAAAUACCUUUCCAUUUUAAUAAUUGUUGAUAUGGUCAGUGUCAGCUUUUUUAUACAGUAAAGGUAUGAAAGUCUGUGUUGUGUGAUUAGACAUUAAGCACAUUCAUUGAGGGACGAUUUCAUGGAGUCCCUGAUAUCAGUGGAGCAGUGGCAGCUGUUGGGCUUAACUUGGCCCAGGUUUAAGUACUUUUUUAAUUUGAAUAUGUUGGAGUCUAAAGUAGGAAUGAUCAUUCUUACUUUUCUUAUUCAUUCCAUUUUAUAGGGGCUUAAGAAACUAGGGGAAUCAGGCCCUUUGUGUAAUACAUAUCGUCUUACAUGAUUUCCAAUGAAGGAUAUUUUCAAGUAGGAGCUUAAGCUUAAAAAAAAAAAAAAAAAGAUUAACUUAAUUACUCUUGAGAUAUGGUAGAAUUCCAGUUGGCCACCUGAAUAAACAUACAAUUUUAUCAUUUUUUUCAGUGUUUCUGUGCUGCAGGAGUACAAAAGUACAGAUGCAUCUCAUGAGUAUAUAAUAAAGAGAAAAUAAGCUACCAUACCCUUUUCAAAAGAACUAAUCAAGUACUAAAAGGAAAAUUAAUGCAAAUAAAAUAUUGAUUAAGAACUAAAAGGAUUUUAAUUAUAUUACUUUCAGAAAUAAUUUAAUUUAACCCAAACAGACAACUAAGAGCAGAUAUUUCGCCUUAGCAUUUUUCAGAUUGCUAAUUAAAAUUUCUAGGAGGAAAUUCAAGUUUAGUGACUGGAUUUUAAAGAUAAAUAAUGCUUGCUUCUUUUCAUAAUAGUUUUAUAAAGGUUUACAUAGUGCCAAAAUAUAAUACUGCAUGCACAUUUUUUUUAAAAACAAUCAGAUAACCUGGAUGCUCCAUACAACCACUGGGGGUAUCGAGCACUCUUACAUUAAGAAAACUUGAAAAUUAAGUGUGUUAAGGUUAAAUAUCUGUCAUAUGUUUUUUAUGUAGAUUUAUAUCUACAUUGUUUAUGAAAUUCUUUGGAGAUAAUUGCUUUUUGGUAAGAUAAAGGCAAUUAUAGUGAUAGAGCACUCUUUGUGCUUCCAUUGCCACUGAGUAGCAAUUUUACUAUUUAUCUGAAAAGAGAUGUAUCUGAUUCUUUAUUCUCUGCCAUAAUGACUUGAUCCAAAAUCCAGUGAAGUAAAUGGAAAUUGCUCAUCACUCUAUAAUUUUGUAUAGCAUUUGGCUUUCAAUGCCACUGCCUACUUUACAUUGUAUUAUUUAUAAGACUGCUGAUCGCUUACAUAUACACCACGAAAUGGAAUGGGAAUGCAGUAAUACAGAGGCACAACAUUUGGAAGCUUUCUACAAAGAAUCUUUUACAACUACAAAUUCUUCACAGAGUAUUAAGGCAAACUGCUCAGAAUUUAAUUAAGCUCCUUUCAUCUUCUUUAGAUGCAGAGUGCUAAAUUAAAGAGAAAAAGAUGAUACUGAGCUACCUGUCCAAACACUUUAGGCAAAAAAAGGUAUAAUUAACAGUCCUUAACAUUAGAUUAGGGAGCAGUAUCAGAAAAUCCCCUUUAUGCCAAGACAGAGGGCUAGAACAUGCCAUGGGGACAUAACAAGAUUCAGAACCACUCUAAAGAAAAUUGUUACACAGAAGAAUCACGUGUCCCAUUAACCAGUGCUCCCUCUCUUGGGCCACUGUAUGUACACAUCAUAAAGCAUGUGACAUACAACUUCUAUGCAAUUUGAAACAUUUCCUAAAAAUUAUGCAAUGCAUGUCUGUGCUACUAGUCUCACUUUGUUAGUCUGCUCACUAGUCUCACUGGUCUCAAUUUUGAAAUUUUGAUUCAGUUAUAUCCAACUUUUCAACCAACUUGACAAGAGGAUUGAGGGGGUCUCAAAAUAUGAAAAUCAGAAGAGAUAGAAAAUCCCACAGAGCCCCUAAUAAUCUGCAGCACACUUUCGUGAGUUGCUAAGUAAUAGGUAAUCUAUAAAACGCAGCAAUGUUGCAACACCAGUCUAUGCAAAGCUUUGGUUUGGUCUCACUUCAUAACACUAGAAACUUGGAAGCACAUAUCUGAGGAAACCAGGCUUCACUACACUGUUGCUUAUGGAAGUAAUUCCUUUUAAGAGAUGAAUAGUAAUUUACACAUUAUUGGAUUAUCUAAUCAACAUAAAAAUGAUUUUACUUGAACACAGGGAAGCUUAGGAGUUUGUCCUCUCCAUAGGCUUUGUCAGAGAUGUAUUAUUGUGCUUGAUGGACUUGAACUGAUAGGGUUGCUUCUCUGUUCCUUUGGCUUAGUCAUGAACAAACAAAAACUAAUUUUGGCCACUCAGCAUUCUGUGAACCAUACAAUCCUCUGCACAUGAUACUUCUGCAAGAGUAAGCUUUAAAAACGAAACUCUUGUUCUCCGUAGGCACUAGAGAUGCAAAUUUGGUGGGACAGAAUCUGAAGGCUAUCUGUCUUCUCAGUUACCCUUUCUGCAACGUAAUAUUUCCUUUGCACUUUGAAGUGGUUGUAUUUAAGCUCAGUUGUGUACGUACAAAAUGAUCUCUGACGAUGAAAGGUAAUAUGAAACGAAAGAAAGACUUUGCAACAUGAAAGGCAUGAAAGAGGAAGAGAAGUAAAGGAGAUGCACUGUUGUUCACCAUUAAUCAUUUCAGCUGGCUACACCUACGUUAAAAAUGCAUGUGCAUGUAUUUACACAACACACAAACAUGCAACGAUGCAAACAGUACACUGCAUGUUUGUUAUGUACAUUGAGUGCAUGUGCGGCUACAACAGAAGUAAAUGAGAAUGAUGCUGAAACAUGAGGUGUAAGCUAAAGGGAACGUUUGAACGGCUGGAUGUUCAGCGAUGUAUGGAGCUGACAUUUGCAAAUCUAAGUUAUAUAUUCUGUUUUCAUUUCUCGACCCUGUCAGCUAAGCAAUCCUUCCACGAGACAGGAAGAAGGAAGAAGGGACAUAAUCCUGAGAGAGCCGAAUGAAUAUAUAUGUUUGCAAUUUCCCUUGAAAUCUGCACAGAAAAUAGGAGUCAACCAUAAAUUCAAAUAAAUCACUGCAAAGACUCACUGACAGAUUCUUUCCAUGCACCUAACGCAGCAAUUACAGAGUCUGGUAAAACUGAGACAGAAAUUGAAAACAGGUUAUUCAUAAAGAAACAAGACGAACCUGCCAGAAUCCUGCUGAUCUAUCAAGCUAAAGAAAAUACUGGACAUCAGCUGCCUCUUAUAGAAAUUCUUCUCUAGUCUGUGAUUCCAUGAAACUGCUUCAUCUGCACACUGCUCAACAGAUCGAAGCUCAGCUUCCGUACUUGGAAGCUUCUGAUGCUUUUGACUUAUUUCCUGGAGAAGCAAUAAACUUGGAGAGCCAUGUUCUUGUUCCUAAUUAUAUAAGAAUUUUACUGCAGGAUGUGGCAAGAAUAUUUUCCUUACUGCAGAGGUAGUAUGAAUUUUAUUCAGGAUAUGUGUUACAGCUGCAGUCACCAACAGCAGGAUUUCUGUAUACUUGCUCUCAGUAGAUCACUCAAAAUCUACAGUGGAACAAGAGUUACUUGGCCUCCAACAAACAGCUCUAUUUCACUUUCACUGUUAAUUCUGCAAAAAGAUGAGACUCAGAGAUUAAGUGUAUUUGAAUCCAUCUCCUCUGACAAUCAUCAGCUGAGGAAAAUAGAUCAUUUUUACCUGAUGCACUGAUUAUAGACUGGGUUUCAUAAAACAGCAAGGAAUGUAAUGACCUUUCAACCAUUCUUCAUUGCAGAAGAAAUCAUCAAGUUCUUUAGACUCCAGCAGAGCAUUCAUAAAUAGUAAUGCUUAUUUAAGGUAAUUCAAUGUGCAAUAAAAGAGACAUAGAGAAGAAUCCCCAUUAGAUUGAAUAAACAGAAGGGAGUAAACUCAUGCUGUGUAUUUUUUCAUUUCUAAAUAAUUAUUUAACAUAAUCUGUACAAGAAUUUGAGCUAUCUUCAUUCUCUACUGCAAUACAAUGUAGAUUACUAUAGGAUUGUAAAUAUUGGUCUUCUAAAACUGACACUCACUGUUAUUUAGGGUAAUCAUCCUCCACCCAUCCCCAACCUGAUUAAAGUUUCUUCAGUCUUCCAGCCAUCCCCACCAACUUGGAUGCUUCAGUUUGUGGAUCAUGCACCAUUACUUUAUCAGAAUAAUGCUGAUUUUCACAACUGAACCAAGCAAAUUAUUUGAUAUCUGAUUAAUGAUUCCAUCAAAAUGGAUCUUAUUUCUCUGUCUCAUCAUAAAAUAGAAUUAAUAUUAAGAAAUGUCUGAUUACAUUCGUAAAGAACUACCCAAAUGAACUGUUGAUCUGGACUCUAUAGAAUUCAAAUUCUCCAUACCAUUCUCUCCAUGAUCCUGCACUUCAUGGCCCAAAUUUUCUUCCACCUACAUUAGACUUCCCCUAGGAUAACUACACAGACUUUACUGGAAAUAUGCUGGUAUAAAUCACAGAUAGCAAGAGAUGGACUCUAAAAGAUAUUUAGAAAAGAAAUUGAAGUUCAUUUGACUUUUUAAUAAGAAUAAACAAAAACCCCAAAAUAACACCUCCACUCUAGCUCUGAAUCCCAGCUCUUGAAACAGGAUGUUAUCAAUUCCUUUGAUAAGAAAAGAAAAGAAAGCUGAAUAAACCUAUUAUCUUUUCUGUGUGCCUAUUUUCGCUUUGAUGUAAAAUAAAUAAAAAAUGAACUGACAAUUCUAAGAUAUGAAGACACCAUAUUGUUGUCACUCUGUGUUCUUACAAAUCUGAUUCAUUCAUGCCGUUUAAGCUGCUGAAGCCUUUGAAGUUGGAAAAUACUACCACAUGAACUUCUAGCAUUGGUAAUUAAGACAUAGUGUGGCAAAUCAAAGGGGACGUGCUACCUAGUGUCUACAGUUCCUUCCCCCAAAAAAGCAAGCUGAGAGUCAUGAUAAUAAAUCAAUUGGUUCUGCCUUUCAGUAGGAAAAGGCCUGUAACUUGUUAUAUUAUAACUCAAUCCCAUCUUGUAUCCAAGAUCAAUUCCUC
rnacentral:lncRNA from 1 species